GGAGAGGUCGCCUAGUGGCCUAGGGCGCUGACCUGGAAAGUCAGUGGGUGAAAGCCCCGUGGGUUCGAAUCCCACCCUCUCCG
rnacentral:tRNA from 2 species